rnacentral:piRNA from 1 species
CUAAUGUGUGCAUUUUUUUUCCU